AGCCUUAUAGUCAUAUUUUGAUAUAAAAUUGCAAAUUUUAUGGGGUAUAAAAUUAAAUACUAAGGCUU
rnacentral:tRNA from 1 species